CCCUGGGUGGCUCAGUCGGUUGAGCGUCCGACUUCGGUUCGGGUCAUGAUCUCGCGGCUCGUGGGUUCGAGCCCCGCGUCGGGCU
rnacentral:tRNA from 1 species